UACAGAGGGUGCGAGCGUUUAAUCGGAAUUACUGGGCGUAAAGCGUGCGUAGACGGUUAUUUAAGUCGGGUGUGAAAGCCCCGGGCUCAACCUGGGAAUUGCAUUCGAGACUGAAUAGCUAGGGUACGGUAGAGGGAAGUGGAAUUUUCCGGUGUAGCGGUGAAAUGCGUAGAUAUCGGGAGGAACACCAGUGGCGAAGGCGACUACCUGGCCUGUUCUUGACGCUGAGGCGCGAAAGCUAGGGGAGCAAACGGG
rnacentral:rRNA from 1 species